rnacentral:rRNA from 1 species
UACGGAGGGUGCAAGCGUUAUCCGGAUUCACUGGGUUUAAAGGGUGCGUAGGCGGCUAUUUAAGUCAGUGGUGAAAGCCCGCAGCUUAACUGCGGAAUUGCCAUUGAAACUGAGUAGCUCGAAUCUGGUUGAAGUGGGCGGAAUACAUCAUGUAGCGGUGAAAUGCAUAGAUAUGAUGUAGAACACCAAUUGCGAAGGCAGCUCACUAAGCCAACAUUGACGCUGAGGCACGAAAGCGUGGGGAGCAAACAGG